GGGGGGAUUUUUUUGUCUGCUUGAGGCUUUCUAAGGCUUUGGCCACAAAAAGAGAGAUACGGGAAAAGGUAGAUACAGAUAUUCGUUCAUCCAGAGAAGAGCACAGAUCCUGUUUCCCUCCUUGUAAAAGAGGUCCUCCAUACCUCAUUUCACAAUUCCCUCCUGAAUAGGUAAUAACAGCCCUGACAGAGUGACCAGCCCAGACCACACAUGCUCAAGCCUAAAGAGGUGAAGGCUCCUCAAAGGCUGCAGUUGUCUUUUCUUCUCUUGCUACAGUCAUUGUGCAGCAGAAAAUUGGGAUGAAGCUGAAAUAUGACAACACCCUGGCAAGACUCCAACCAUGACUGGGCAUUUCAAUGAGUUACAAGCACAAGCAGAGUUACAGCACUAAAUAUCUAAAGUUCAUUUUGAAAUGAAGUCUCUGGAAACAUAUGAACUCUUAUGGUGUGAGGCAUUAUCUAACCUCUAAUUACAGAGGGAAUGGGAGGAAUGGAAACUCUUCUGAGAUAAGGGGUAACCUUACUGCUUGUUGUGGGGUUUCUUGGAACAUCCCUUAACAGCCCUGCUCUGGUCAUUGUCAAAUGCCUGGGCUAGAAGGCUCACUGGUCUGAGCGAGACUAGAUGUUCCUCAAUUCCUAGAAAAGCAAUUGUAACUUAUAUUCUGAUUUCUAUAAACAUUGAUUUUCUCAAUGAAAAUACAGAAAUAUAUGAUUAGGUAUAUGAGAUG